UAGGGAAUCUUCCGCAAUGGACGAAAGUCUGACGGAGCAAUGCCGCGUGAGUGAAGAAGGUUUUCGGAUCGUAAAGCUCUGUUGUCAGGGAAGAACAAGGAUCGGAGUAACUGCCGGUCCCUUGACGGUACCUGACCAGAAAGCCACGGCUAACUACGUGCCAGCAGCCGCGGUAAUACGUAGGUGGCAAGCGUUGUCCGGAUUUAUUGGGCGUAAAGCGAGCGCAGGCGGUUCUUUAAGUCUGAUGUGAAAGCCCACGGCUUAACCGUGGACGGUCAUUGGAAACUGGGGAACUUGAAUGCAGAAGAGGAAAGUGGAAUUCCAUGUGUAGCGGUGAAAUGCGUAGAUAUAUGGAGGAACACCAGUGGCGAAGGCGACUUUCUGGUCUGUUAUUGACGCUGAGGCUCGAAAGCGUGGGGAGCAAACAGG
rnacentral:rRNA from 1 species